CCAUUUGUAAGGGUUUACCCCUUGUCGCCGCGGCCGCGGGUUUGAUUCUGCCCUGUGGCCUUUUGCUGAGUGUCAUUCCCCCUCUCUCUCCCCUUUGAAAUCUCCAGCUUUAAA